rnacentral:rRNA from 1 species
AGUACUGUGAACUGCGAAUGGCUCAUUAAAUCAGUUAUCGUUUAUUUGAUUGUACCAUUACUACUUGGAUAACCGUAGUAAUUCUAGAGCUAAUACAUGCGAAAAGUCCCGACUUGUGAAGGAAGGGAUGUAUUUAUUAGAUUAAAAACCAAUGCGGGUUUCGUGCCCGGUUGUUUGGUGAUUCAUAGUAACUGAUCGAAUCGCACGGCCUUGGCGCUGGCGAUGUUUCAUUCAAAUUUCUGCCCUAUCAACUGUCGAUGGUAAGGUAGUGGCUUACCAUGGUUGCAACGGGUGACGGAGAAUUAGGGUUCGAUUCCGGAGAGGGAGCCUGAGAAACGGCUACCACAUCCAAGGAAGGCAGCAGGCGCGCAAAUUACCCAAUCCUGACUCAGGGAGGUAGUGACAAGAAAUAACAAUACAGGGCUUUCC